UACGAAGGGGGCUAGCGUUGUUCGGAAUUACUGGGCGUAAAGGGCGCGCAGGCGGUCCUUCAAGUCAGGCGUGAAAGCCCCGGGCUCAACCUGGGAAUAGCGCUUGAGACUGAAGGACUUGAGUUCGGGAGAGGAGAGCGGAAUUCCCAGCGUAGAGGUGAAAUUCGUAGAUAUUGGGAAGAACACCGGUGGCGAAGGCGGGCAUCUGGGCCAACACUGACGCUGAGGCGCGAAAGCUAGGGGAGCAAACAGG
rnacentral:rRNA from 1 species